UACGUAGGGGGCGAGCGUUGUCCGGAUUUAUUGGGCGUAAAGAGCUCGUAGGCGGUUUGGUAAGUCGGAUGUGAAAUCUCCAGGCUCAACCUGGAGGGGUCAUUCGAGACUGCUAUGACUAGAGUUCGGUAGAGGAGUGUGGAAUUCCUGGUGGAGCGGUGAAAUGCGCAGAUAUCAGGAGGAACACCCGUAGCGAAGGCGGCACUCUGGGCCGAUACUGACGCUGAGGUGCGAAAGCGUGGGGAGCAAACAGG
rnacentral:rRNA from 1 species